rnacentral:rRNA from 1 species
GAGGUAGGCGNAAUGUGCAGUGUAGCGGUGNAAAUGCAUAGAGAUUGCACAGAACACCGAUUGCGGAGGCAGCUUACUAAGCCAUAACUGACGCUGAGGCACGAAAGCGUGGGGGAGCGAAACAGGAUUAGAUACCCUGGUAGUCCACGCUGUAAACGAUGUUCACUCGCUGUUUGCGAUACACAGUAAGCGGCUUAGCGAAAGCAUUAAGUGAACCACCUGGGGAGUACGAUCGCAAGGUUGAAACUCAAAGGAAUUGACGGGGGCCCGCACAAGCGGAGGAACAUGUGGUUUAAUUCGAUGAUACGCGAGGAACCUUACCUGGGCUUAAAUGUAGGCUGCAUUUCCGGGAAACCGGGAUUCCCUUCGGGGCUGCUUACAAGGUGCUGCAUGGUUGUCGUCAGCUCGUGCCGUGAGGUGUCGGGUUAAGUCCCAUAACGAGCGCAACCCUUAUCGUUAGUUGCUAGCAGGUAAAGCUGAGGACUCUAGCGAGACUGCCACCGUAAGGUGAGAGGAAGGUGGGGAUGACGUCAAAUCAGCACGGCCCUUAUGUCCAGGGCUACACACGUGUUACAAUGGCCGGUACAGAGGGAAGCUACCUGGUGACAGGUUGCCAAUCUUAAAAGCCGGUCUCAGUUCGGAUUGGAGUCUGCAACCCGACUCCAUGAAGUUGGAUUCGCUAGUAAUCGCGCGUCAGCCUUGC